rnacentral:rRNA from 1 species
AUUGAACGCUGGCGGCAGGCUUAACACAUGCAAGUCGAGCGAGUGGCGGACGGGUGAGUAAUGUCUGGGAAUCUGCCUGAUGGUGGGGGAUAACGACUGGAAACGGGAGCUAAUACCGCAUACUAUCAGAUGAGCCCAGGUGGGAUUAGCUAGUUGGUGGGGUAAUGGCUCACCUAGGCGACGAUCCGUAGCUGGUCUGAGAGGAUGACCAGCCACACUGGAACUGAGACACGGUCCAGACUCCUACGGGAGGCAGCAGUGGGGAAUAUUGCACAAUGGGCGAAAGCCUGAUGCAGCCAUGCCGCGUGUGUGAAGAAGGCCUUCGGAUUGUAAAGCACUUUCAGCGAGGAGGCGUUACCCACAGAAGAAGCACCGGCUAACUCCGUGCCAGCAGCCGCGGUAAUAC